CUGAGCUGAGGAUGAUUUAAAGUUAUCCCUGUCUGAAAUGGUAUCUUUUGUGAGGAGGUCUGACUUGCUGAGGCUCAG
rnacentral:snoRNA from 10 species